CGGGGUGAGUAAUGUCUGGGAAACUGCCUGAUGGAGGGGGAUAACUGCUGGAAACGGUAGCUAAUACCGCAUAACGUCGCAAGACCAAAGAGGGGGACCUUCGGGCCUCUUGCCAUCGGAUGUGCCCAGAUGGGAUUAGCUAGUAGGUGGGGUAACGGCUCACCUAGGCGACGAUCCCUAGCUGGUCUGAGAGGAUGACCAGCCACACUAGAACUGAGACACGGUCCAG
rnacentral:rRNA from 1 species